UUCUAUCUGGACACGGCUCCUUGCGAAUGUGGAUUCACCGCCACCUUCUAAAGAGGUAAAAGCCGCCUGGUGCCGGUGUCCAGCCUCCCUGGGCCCUCCCUGGGACAUGCUUCACUGCAGGGGGGGCAAUGCUCCUUAAAGAAGCUGCGGCCCACAACUGCCAAUGCCCUUUUCGGGUUCACGAAACGCUUUCUCGCUUGCUGCCUCCCAUUUCACAGGGUUAUUGGAACUAUUUAUCUCAGAAGUUCCCUCUCAUCUGAUUGGAAAGUCUGACCUGGAUGGGCUUCUGUGGAUGGUGUAAAGAGGCUGCUCUCCUUAGGAAGGCAAAAGAAUAAGGUUGCAGAGAUCCCAGUUCAUCAAUCAAUUUGUCUGGAGAAUUACAAAGUCUGUCUGGACUGAGAGAUGCCUGAGUGCUUUGAAGGGGAAGUUUUGGGCACCUGGAGGACUUGACUGCCCCGUGGGGUGAGUCAUCAUGAAAAUAAUUUAUAAGCUUUUGGCCCUGA